ACCCCAGCUCAGGCGAGGGUACCCGCCGAGUUUAAGCAUAUAACUAAGCGGAGGAAGAGAAACUUACGAGGAUUCCCCUAGUAACGGCGAGCGAACCGGGAA
rnacentral:rRNA from 1 species